rnacentral:rRNA from 1 species
AGCUGUUGCUGGGCCUUUUCGGUUGUGGCGGCAACCGAAGGCAUUGUGAAGUUGAGCACCGGGAAGCUCAUCUCGUUGUCGGAGCAAGAGCUGGUUGACUGCGAUGUCCAUGGUGUGGAUCAGGGUUGUGAGGGUGGCGAGAUGGACGACGCCUUCAAAUUCAUCAUUAAGAACGGCGGCCUCACAACCGAGUCCAACUACCCAUACACGGCACAGGAUGGGCAGUGCAAGACCAGCAUUGCAAGCACCAGUGUGGCAACCAUCAAGGGCUACGAAGAUGUCCCCGCCAACGAUGAAUCUUCUCUUAUGAAAGCAAUCGCUAACCAACCUGUAUCAGUAGCUGUGGACGGAGGGGAUGUCAUAUUUCAACAUUACUCUGGCGGGGUGAUG